rnacentral:rRNA from 1 species
UACGUAGGUGGCAAGCGUUGUCCGGAUUUACUGGGCGUAAAGAGCGCGCAGGCGGUCGGAUAAGUCGAAUGUGAAAGCCCCCGGCUCAACUGGGGAGGGUCAUUCGAUACUGUUCGACUCGAAGGCAGGAGAGGGAAGUGGAAUUCCCGGUGUAGUGGUGAAAUGCGUAGAUAUCGGGAGGAACACCAGUGGCGAAGGCGACUUCCUGGCCUGUUCUUGACGCUGAGGCGCGAAAGCGUGGGGAGCGAUCCGG